CAGUUUAUUCAGUAGACAUUCAGAAUCUAUAAUUUCAAUAUCAUACCUUAGAGUAUAAACAGUUCAAUAAAUAGUAUCACAAUUUAGACAGUAAAUAGUCCACUAGAUACUAAUUUAGUAUUUCAGUAUCAUAAACAUUACAUACGACUUCCUAUUCAUUCCUAUUAACUUAGAUCCUAUAAAAUAAUUUCACAGCAUGAUGCCAUUUCUGUCAGUAUCAACGAAAGCAGUAAGGAUCCCUUUUACCACGUGAAUACAUUACAGUUCAGUUCACAGUUUACAGUUUACAGUUUGCAGUACACAUCAUUCAAUUCAUAGUCUUUAUCGCUUCAUCAUAUCUGGCUAAAGCCGUAUCCAUGGGUAGGGUUCACCAUAGUCACA
rnacentral:lncRNA from 1 species